GNGGCAACUAACCUGGAACUUUGGGUGCUC
rnacentral:piRNA from 1 species